UCCCCAACAUCUGCAUUGCUAAGCCCAGUUUAUGGUUGGUCUCAGUGCUUCCCAAUCCUGGCACAGCAGGAAGCACUCACUGCACACCAGCCUGUGGGGAUUUCCCUGGCUUAUGGGUGUUAUCUGAGAGUUCAGGAUCAGAGUGAAGUCUGACUCCUUGUUUGCCUCUCUUUGCUUGUGUGUCCUCCACUGUUUUGUAUCUCAGCCCACGCUCCAGAUCCUGCAUCUGCAACUCAGCAAUUCCAGGCAAGUCUUCCUGAUCAGGAUGCAAUGUUAGCUGACCAUGUUUUGAAACACGAGAGGGUCUCAAGAGCAAGAAAUGAAGCAAGAAGCACCAAGAGAAAUGCUUUUCCUCCUGUCCUUGCAACUAAAGGAGAGUGUGCUGGCACAUCCCAUGCGAGGAAUCUGAUGAGACCUCUUCAUAUCACACUUCAGCAUCUACACACAAGCCAGCAUGACCUGAGGUGUGGAAAUCAUAGAAUCAUAGAAUCAUUAAGGAUGGAAAGACCACUAAGAUCAUCUAGUCCAGCCAUCAACCCAUGCCUGUGAUCACUCUAGACCAUGUUCCUCAGUGACACAUCAAUCAUCUUCUUGAGCUUUGUCUUCCAAGGGCAGUGACUCCACCACCUCCUACAGGAAACCACUCCUGUAGCUUCCUGCUGUCAAAACACGUCUGUGAGUGGUGGGGAUUAAGGCCUGGCCUGUGCAGAGAAGCUCAGCUUUGCAAUGCACCCAAUGCAUCUGAGCAGGAUGCAGAAAAACUGAUGUGAAAUGAAUGCACACAAAGAGAAGUCGAUUUACAAUUCAGUUUUGUUGUGUUUUUUUUUCUUAAUGAUGAAAAAAACCAAGCACUGAUUUGUUGAGGACUGAUGGCAUUUGGCUGAAUGACAACCAGUCAGGCUGAAUGGGGCAGAUGUCUGAAAGCAUCAUCAGAAGGAUGCAACGUGCUCAUCGCUGCGUGCUGUCCUGAGGAAAAUGAGAAAUCUUAAUAAAUUCUGUGAGAAAUGACAUCACUCUUCCCUGUGUCAGAGGAGCUGACUUCAUCCCAAAUAACAUGUUUUACAGGAAUCUCUUCAAGCCUUAAGCUGAAGGACAUUUCUCAGCAAGCCACUUCCUUUGUGCAUUUCCCAGUGCACAGCUGACAUGAACAGACGCGGCACGUCACAGCCUGGAACAAUUUCCAGCUUCGGCAGAGGUCAGAGUCUAUGCCAUGUCUGCAGAGCAAUUUGGCACAUUUUGAGUUUCACCAGUAAAUCAGAUCAGCUUCUUAAAACGCUUUUGUUUUCUGCACUCCAAUAAAUGCUGUGUAUUUCAGCUCAGAGAGAUACUUCUCUGAAAAUACUGAUCAUAAUGUGAGCAUUUAUUGAGAAACUGCAUGUGUGAGUCAUAAAACAAAGACCAGUCCUACAGAAAAGCACAAGCGCACAACAGGAAAGGUUAAUUUCAAGGUCAUUACCCAAAAUGAUUGUUGUCUGGAUGGAAUGAACUGUGAUCUUUAGGAAUGUCCACUGGAACGUGGAACAUUCUUCCAUUCUGGGAAGAAAAAUAUUUAUUUUGUUCAUUAAUGCCAUAGUCAGUGCUUGGGGUAACUCACAACUAGUGGCUCCUCCCAUUUGGAAGAAACAUUCUGUGGCCAUGUUUUUAGUAAUUAAUAUAGUAUCACAGAAUCACGGAAUUGUAGGGGUUGGAAGGGACCUCUAGAGAUGUUCCUUAAACCUACAUACACGUAAGGCCUUCUGGGGGGCUUCACACCUUGCCUUGAGGCCAAGAAUAUAACUUCUCACUUCUGGAUUAUAUCACAUUUGGAGUGAAGUAGAAGCAGCACUGCUUAUUUCUAGGUACCCACUAAAAAGGUUUUACAAAUAACUGUGCUGUGGGCAAUGCCUACAGUGUAGUUCUUAUUUAGGAUCUUGCUGACUCUGCAAAGGAGUAUUUGUAAAUCCCAAUUUUACUUGGAUCCUACCAGGAAUGAAACCAUUCAGAUCUGGCAGAUAGAUAACACAGAUAAAUUGCAAAUUCUGCCUGUACAGACUCAACUGUGCAGUGUCUCCUGAUAUUCUGGAAAUAUUCUUUGACCCUGAAACUCCUCAUUUGUCUGCUCACCUUUAUGUCUUUAGGGCUUGAUCUGCUGGAGUCGGUGGAAGCUCUGCUCCUGAUUAUUAGUGGGGCAUGCCUGGGCUCAGCCUGAGCAUGGAUGGAGCUGAAACUGCAGCUUUUUGUCUGCUUCCUUAUCUAUACCUUUGGACUGCAGUCUGGCUAUACCAGUUUCACUCAGCCUCACCUCCUGCUCUGCUUCAUCCUGCACUCUUGCUAUCUUUGGGAUCCCUUUCUUUUCUUGAGUCCUAACUUCCCUGUUCUUGCUCCAGGUAAGAACAGCUGUGUGGGAUUAGACCAUCUGUUCUGCUUCCGAUACUGGCCAUGAACAGACACCCAGGAAAAAUUCAGAACAAAUCUAUAAUUCCUCCCUUAACACUACAUCAGCUUCUACCUAUUUCCAGCUCUGAGGCUUUCCUGAACCUGCUGUGGUCUCUUCGUGUCAUGGAUACCUCCAAACCCCUGGGAGAGCACAUACACUCCUUGCAAUCAGUCUCACUCUUCCUGGAGAAGGAGUUCCUUGUCUGGACGACAUCCUGCUGCAUGACCAGCUUCUUCCUUUUGGUUGCUUUGGAUUUGGUUUCUACCUGCAUUAGCUGGUCCCUUAUUCUUGUCCCAGAGAUGCACUGAACACUCAGUGCAUAUCCACUCUGUGUAUUAAUGAUUUUAGAAUUUCUUUUUGUAGUAUCCUCAUCUCAACUCUUUUUCAGCUUGAGAAUCUCCACUCUCCCGCACUGUUCCUUGCACAGCAAUUGGGCCACACUUAUUAUUAUUCUCUGAACAUUUUUCACUACUUUGCUAACCUUUUUUGAGAGGCCAGAACUGCACAGUGUUGAAAGUGAAGGUGAAUGAUGGAUUUAUACAGUGACAUGGUAAUGUUCAGUAUUUUGUUGGCUACUCUUCUGCUGGAAUUCCAUCACAUUUAUUUGCUCUUUGGCUGUUAGUGAGCACUGACUCGAUAUCUUCAAAAAGUGUCCAUAGUAGGUUGGCCAUGGCCUUCCUCCUGAGUAACAACUGCAAGCAGAGAGACUGUCUCUCACACAUGAAGUUAGAGCUGCUUCUCCCUAAAUGCUCUCACUGCUUCAUACCCACCUAGUCUGAGUUUUAUUUGACAUUAUAUGGGUUGCUCACACUGUCUUAUAAGGUCCUUCUCAAGUUCUUUGCUGCAGGCCAUCAUGUUUGCUACUAAUUCCGUGUAUUAUCAUUAUAUUUUGUCACUUCCCUCCUAACCUGUUGAAGCUCUUUGCUCUGGCUUUCCUCUGCUGGAGGGACAACACUGCUUUUCCCAUCAUGACUGUUUCUUGUCAUGCUCUACUUGACUAGAGGACAGAUUUCCAGUUGAAUGUGUAUGUAAAGAAUAAAACCCAAGAAGCCUUCCAGCUACCUAAGUGCUGUUACAGCGUGUCACCCCCACGGGCUUGCUCCCUCUGGUAAGUGUCCACACAAGUGUGAAACGCUCAUGGGCAGCACAAUGGGCUGAUACAGGCACCCACAAUGGGCUGAUACAGGCACCCAAGUGUCUUCCAUGACUGUUACUUUGUUUAGUAUUCUUUCUCAGGUUUCUUUUUGCCUACAGCAGAUCAGAAAUCUGAGUGUCCAGGGAGAACCCAGCCAAGCCUACCUUACGCAGAGCUGAUUUGGAAACAUGAAGCAUUAAGACCCUUUUCCACCUGUUCCUCCAGCAGCAAGGCUAUAUUUCACCCAGACCUCUGAAGCAGCCCCUAAACCUGGAGAACAGCAGAUAGCAGUGAGAGGCAGACAGAAGUGACCUAGAAGAGCAUUUAAUAAGAAGAGGUGCCAAAGUACAACUUUCAGCCUUACCCUAAAGAGUGUUUACAUCUUUUCUUAUGAAAUGCGAUGGAAUCAUCCUGCUUCGUGGGGAUUCUGAGUUUCAUCACAAUGGUUUUCCCGUGCACAAUUCUCUGUUAACACAGACUCAGUACAUCUACCUGCUGUAUAGUUGUGGUGUAAGACAUUCCAUCAACCGAAGCACUGUGAUAAAAGCUGCACCACUGCAUAUAUGCUUGAAAUCUGCCUAGAAACAUCUUACCUCCAGCCUGACACAUUCUGAAAGAGCAUUAUCAUUACAAUAAAAGCCUCUCUUCUCUUUCAUCUAUGACCUACUUUACAGUGAUUUCUAUCAAAAGUACAAAUGCCUACUGAAUAAAACUCUAUACAUUUUAUCCUUUACCCAAGGAUCUUAAAAUCUUUUAUUACCCUUCAUAAAUUAACCUCUCAGUGGCACCCUAGGUGAUGCUUGUGGCACGAUUUGGGAAACUCUGCAACUGGAGGCAAGGACUGAUGUGCUGAGCUGCCAUAUGAGCCUGCAGUGAGUCUAUAUGGCUGCCAAGGCCAUCUGAGUUCCCAGAAGCUCAGUUCUAAUACCUCAGUGUCUUCUCCUGAACUUAGUCAUAAAAUAACAGGGCGUGGGGAGAGCUCUUCUGGCACACAGGCUGUGGAAAUCCUUAGACUAUAAAAAUCUUAGACUAUAGGGCUAGUAGUUCCCAUUUUCAUAUUACUUAUUCAAGUAAUCAACUUAU